CCUGUCGAUGAUGAUGAUCUCAUCUCAUAUAUCAUAACCGGCUUAGAUGAAGAAUAUGAGCCGGUGAUUUCCUGUAUUUGCGGGAAGACAGAAGCAGUGACCAUUGGAGAAGCCCUCUCGCAGUUACUGGACUUCGAGC
rnacentral:snoRNA from 1 species